GGAUUGGGAGGGUUCUACGGAACCCGUUUGGUGAAUCUAGUGCCGAGAAAAGCCUUCUAUGUGUUGAAUUUCUAGUACCCGUACCCCAAACCGACACAGGUGGGUGGGUAGAGCAUACCUAGGGGCGCGUGAUAACUCUCUCUAAGGAACUCGGCAAAAUGGCCCUGUAACUUCGGGAUAAGGGGUGCCUGCGUGAGCAGGCCGCAGUGAAAUGGCUCUGGCGACUGUUUACCAAAAACACAGGUCUCUGCUAAGUCGUAAGACGAUGUAUAGGGGCUGACUCCUGCCCAGUGCCGGAAGGUUAAGGAAGUUGGUUAGCGCAAGCGAAGCUGGCGACCGAAGCCCCGGUGAACGGCGGCCGUAACGAUAACGGUCCUAAGGUAGCGAAAUUCCUUGUCGGGUAAGUUCCGACCCGCACGAAAGGAGUAACGAUCAGAGCGCUGUCUCGGAGAGAGACACGGCGAAAUAGGAUUGUCCGUGAAGAUACGGACUACCUGCACCCGGACAGAAAGACCCUAUGAAGCUUUACUGUAACUUGGAAUUGUGUUCGGACUUUGUCUGCGCAGAAUAGGUGGGAGGCUAUGAAACGUUCCUCGCGGGGAACUGGAGCCAUCGUUGAGAUACCACUCUGGCAGAGUCUGGAUUCUAACCUACGGGGACAGUUCCAGGUGGGCAGUUUGACUGGGGCGGUCGCCUCCUAAAAUGUAACGGAGGCGCGCAAAGGUUCCCUCAGGCUGGUUGGAAAUCAGCCAUAGAGUGUAAAAGCAUAAGGGAGCUUGACUGUGAGACCUACAAGUCGAGCAGGGACGAAAGUCGGCUUUAGUGAUCCGACGGCACUGAGUGGAAGGGCCGUCGCUCAACGGAUAAAAGUUACUCUAAGGAUAACAGGCUGAUCUCCCCCAAGAGUUCACAUCGACGGGGAGGUUUGGCACCUCGAUGUCGGCUCGUCGCAACCUGGGGCGGUAGUACGUCCCAAGGGUUGGGCUGUUCGCCCAUUAAAGCGGCACGUGAGCUGGGUUCAGAACGUCGCGAGACAGUUCGGUCCAUAUCCGGUGUAGGCGUAGGAGCAUUGAAAGGAUCUCUCCUUAGUACGAGAGGACCGGGAGGGACGUACCUCUGGUGUACCUGUUAUCGUGCCAACGGUAAACGCAGGGUAGCCAUGUACGGAGUGGAUAACCGCUGAAAGCAUCUAAGUGGGAAGCCCACCUUAAGAUGAGUGCUCCCUUGAGGCCACGGGAAGACGACCCGUUUGAUAGGCGCUAGGUGGAAGUGCAGUAAUGCAUGCAGCCGAGGCGUACUAAUAGGCCGAUGGCUUGU
rnacentral:rRNA from 1 species